rnacentral:rRNA from 1 species
UACGUAGGGGGCUAGCGUUGUCCGGAUUUAUUGGGCGUAAAGAGCUCGUAGGUGGUUCGGUAAGUCGGAUGUGAAAUCUCCAGGCUCAACCUGGAGGGGUCAUUCGAUACUGCCGUGACUAGAGUUCGGUAGAGGAGUGUGGAAUUCCUGGUGGAGCGGUGAAAUGCGCAGAGAUCAGGAGGAACACCAAUGGCGAAGGCAGCUCGCUGGGACGUUACUGACGCUGAGGAGCGAAAGCGUGGGGAGCGAACAGG